AGACCCGAAACCCGGUGAUCUAGCCAUGGGCAGGUUGAAGGUUGGGUAACACUAACUGGAGGACCGAACCGACUAAUGUUGAAAAAUUAGCGGAUGACCUGUGGCUGGGGGUGAAAGGCCAAUCAAACCGGGAGAUAGCUGGUUCUCCCCGAAAGCUAUUUAGGUAGCGCCUCGUGAAUUCAUCUCCGGGGGUAGAGCACUGUUUCGGCUAGGGGGCCAUCCCGGCUUACCAACCCGAUGCAAACUGCGAAUACCGGAGAAUGUUAUCACGGGAGACACACGGCGGGUGCUAACGUCCGUCGUGAAGAGGGAAACAACCCAGACCGCCAGCUAAGGUCCCAAAGUCAUGGUUAAGUGGGAAACGAUGUGGGAAGGCCCAGACAGCCAGGAUGUUGGCUUAGAAGCAGCCAUCAUUUAAAGAAAGCGUAAUAGCUCACUGGUCGAGUCGGCCUGCGCGGAAGAUGUAACGGGGCUAAACCAUGCA
rnacentral:rRNA from 7 species